CACGCCGUAAACGAUGAAGUGCUAAGUGUUAGAGGGUUUCCGCCCUUUAGUGCUGCAGCUAACGCAUUAAGCACUCCGCCUGGGGAGUACGGUCGCAAGACUGAAACUCAAAGGAAUUGACGGGGGCCCGCACAAGCGGUGGAGCAUGUGGUUUAAUUCGAAGCAACGCGAAGAACCUUACCAGGUCUUGACAUCCUCUGACAACUCUAGAGAUAGAGCGUUCCCCUUCGGGGGACAGAGUGACAGGUGGUGCAUGGUUGUCGUCAGCUCGUGUCGUGAGAUGUUGGGUUAAGUCCCGCAAAGAGCGCAACCCUUGAUCCUGGUUGCCAGCAUU
rnacentral:rRNA from 1 species